rnacentral:rRNA from 1 species
UACGAAGGGGGCUAGCGUUGUUCGGAAUCACUGGGCGUAAAGCGCACGUAGGCGGACUUUUAAGUCAGGGGUGAAAUCCCGGGGCUCAACCCCGGAACUGCCUUUGAUACUGGAAGUCUUGAGUCCGAGAGAGGUGAGUGGAACUCCGAGUGUAGAGGUGAAAUUCGUAGAUAUUCGGAAGAACACCAGUGGCGAAGGCGGCUCACUGGCUCGGUACUGACGCUGAGGUGCGAAAAGGCGUGGGGGAGCAAACAGGAUUAGAUACCGUAGUCC